UCCCGGCGCGUGCGCACAAACUUCGAUACGGCGGCUCGCGCGCCCUGCGUCCGGGCCCCGAGGUCUGGCGGCCUUACGGCGGCUGCGCAGUUGUGCCCCGUAGGGCGCGAAAGCUGGGCUCCGGCGCGCGAAGGGCUUGGCUCCCACCGCCGAAAUCGCGUCUCAGGGCCUGCGGCGGUUGCCUGCAUUUCGGGCACCGCCUACCGGACGGAGCUCGGUGCGUGACGAAUAUCCGUCGCCCUUUUGCCCGGUGCGCAGGUGCGCAGGUGCGCAGGCGCUGUGUCGGUUCUCAGCGCGCUCCCAGCCACCGGGAUAGAUUUUAUUUAUUCAUGAGAGACAGAGAGAGGCAGAGACACAGGCAGAGGGAGAAGCGGGCUUCAUGCUGGGAGCCCGACGCGGGACUCCAUCCAAGGACUCCAGGAUCACGCCCUGGGCCCAAGGCAGGCGCCAAACCGCUGAGCCACCCAGGGAUCCCCAGCAUUUCUUAUCCUAAGAAAACCAGCCAAAAUCCAAAGUUUUAUGUACAAAGAUGUUUGUGGUAUCCUCAUUUAUAGUAUCGAAAAUGGAAACCAUCCAAACAUCCAAAGGUAGGGGAUGACUAAGGAAAGUAUGGGGUUUUACCAAAGCAGUGAUUCUCAGGACUGCACCAGAGGCCAAAUACUUCCAGGGGACACCUCAGGGAAUGAGAAGAGGGGCAGGGGCUAGGGGAGUGGGAGCAACUAACUGUGUUAGCUCCAGUCCUGCAACACGGAGCAGUCAAGGGCUGGGUGGAGAAGGAAAACCCUCACUCUCCCCUAAGGCCUCUUACAAAUAGGUACCUAGGGCAGAGGUGUAAAAGUUUUCUAUUGUUAUGUAAUGAUUUAUCACAAACUUAGUGGCUUAAAACAACAUCCACUUAUUAGCCUAAGGUUCUGUAGGUCAGAAGUCUGGGCGUGGCAUGUCUCGGUGAGGCUAAUGUCAGGUUUUGGCCAAACUGGAUUUCUUUCUUGGGGCUUCUUCGCCAGCCAGAAGAACUUUUUUUUUUUUUAAUUUAUUUUUUAUUGGUGUUCAAUUUACUAACAUACAGAAUAACACCCAGUGCCCGUCACCCAUUCACUCCCACCCCCCGCCCUCCUCCCCUUCUACCACCCCUAGUUCGUUUCCCAGAGUUAGCAGUCUUUACGUUCUGUCUCCCUUUCUGAUAUUUCCCACACAUUUCCAGAAGAACUCUUUUUAAAAGGCUCAUGUUAUUAGGUCAAGUCUACCCAGAUAACUUCCCUCUCUUAAGGCCAAAUGAUUUGGGAGUAUAAUUACCUCUACAGAAUAUCUUUACAGCAGUGCUAGAUCAGUGUGAGGAGGGCACUCUCUUUACAUGAAAAGAUAUCGACUCAGUACAGCCUAAGAAAGAAAAAUAAAAAGCGAAAGAGGAAGUCAUUGAAAAUCUGGAACUAUUUUGAAAUAUGUAAGUCCUUCAAUAUUAGGUUCAUUUUUAUUUCAUGAUAAAAAUAAAUGCUAAAAAUAAUGUAGGGAAGAGGAGUUAAAUCAUCUGUUCUGGGAGUCAUCUAAACUAGGUCUGACACAAGUCUCCUCCCUAUCAGCCCUUUCCUGAAUUAGUUGUUGCCUGUUAUCUGGAGGUGGGUGAUGGGAAACAAUUAUCAAAAGACUGGCUCUGGUAUUUUAUAGAAAGCUUUCAAGAGCACAUCAGUACUCUUCCUCUAGAAUGUGGGAUUAUUUGUUGUAGAUUGUGCUCAGAUAACAGGAAAAAUCUCAUUCCACAUCCUGCUACAAAUGCUUAGUGGCCAUUUGGAUUUCCUCUUCUGCAGCGAGCAUGUCCGCAUCCUUUGUCCUUUGCCUUUUGUGACCAAGUAGCAGGAGCUCUUUGUAUAUCAAAGACCAGAGGUUGCAAUCUAUGGCCCUUGGACAAAACUGGCCAGCUGCCUGUUCUGUAAGACCUUUAGGUUAAGAACAUUUUUUACAUUUUAAAAAUAGUUGAAAGAAAUCAAAAGAAUAUUUCAAGAUGUGUGGAAAUGACAUGAAAUGCACAUUUCAGUAUGCAUAAAAUUUUACUGGAAUGCAGCGUGCUCAUUUGUUUAUGGCCUAUGACUGAAUUUGUGCUACAGAGACAGACCUGAGGAGUGUGACAGAGGCCCUAUGACCCUGAAGCCUCAAAUAUCUACCAUCUGUCAUUUACAGAAAACGUUUGCAGACCCCGUCAGAGACAAUAACUGCCAUCUAGCAAGUGUGUUGCACUCAUAUUUUUUCCAACUUGUAUUUUAACUUUGUACUUUCUUCUAAAGUUUUACAAUUUUAUUUUAUUUUUAAUUAUAAUCUCUACUACACCCAUUGUGGGACUCAAACUCACAACCCUGAGAUCAAGAGUCAUGUGCUUCCUUGACUGAGCCAGCUG